rnacentral:rRNA from 1 species
UACGUAGGGACCAAGCGUUGUUCGGAUUUACUGGGCGUAAAGGGCGCGUAGGCGGCGCGGUAAGUCACUUGUGAAAUCUCUGAGCUUAACUCAGAACGGCCAAGUGAUACUGCAGUGCUAGAGUGUGGAAGGGGCAACUGGAAUUCUUGGUGUAGCGGUGAAAUGCGUAGAUAUCAAGAGGAACACCUGCGGCGAAGGCGGGUUGCUGGGCCGACACUGACGCUGAUGCGCGAAAGCUAGGGGAGCGAACGGG